AGUGAACGCUGGCGGUAGGCCUAACACAUGCAAGUCGAACGGCAGCACAGUAAGAGCUUGCUCUUACGGGUGGCGAGUGGCGGACGGGUGAGGAAUACAUCGGAAUCUACUUUUUCGUGGGGGAUAACGUAGGGAAACUUACGCUAAUACCGCAUACGACCUACGGGUGAAAGCAGGGGAUCUUCGGACCUUGCGCGAUUGAAUGAGCCGAUGUCGGAUUAGCUAGUUGGCGGGGUAAAGGCCCACCAAGGCGACGAUCCGUAGCUGGUCUGAGAGGAUGAUCAGCCACACUGGAACUGAGACACGGUCCAGACCCCUACGGGAGGCAGCAGUGGGGAAUAUUGGACAAUGGGCGCAAGCCUGAUCCAGCCAUACCGCGUGGGUGAAGAAGGCCUUCGGGUUGUAAAGCCCUUUUGUUGGGAAAGAAGAGCAGCAGGUUAAUACCCCGCUGUUCUGACGGUACCCAAAGAAUAAGCACCGGCUAACUUCGUG
rnacentral:rRNA from 1 species